AGAGUUUGAUCCUGGCUCAGAAUCAACGCUGGCGGCGUGCCUCAGACAUGCAAGUCGAACGAUUAAACUUUCCUUCGGGAAAGAUAUAAAGUGGCGUACGGGUGAGUAACACGUAAGUAAUCUACCUUUGAGUGGGGAAUAACAGUCGGAAACGACUGCUAAUACCGCAUAAUGCAGCGGCACCGCAAGGUGACAGUUGUUAAAGCAUUUAUGCGCUUAAAGAGGAGCUUGCGGCAGAUUAGCUAGUUGGUAAGGUAAUGGCUUACCAAGGCAACGAUCUGUAUCCGGUCUAAGAGGACGGUCGGACACACUGACACUGAAUAACGGGUCAGACUCCUACGGGAGGCAGCAGUCGGGAAUUUUGGGCAAUGGGCGAAAGCCUGACCCAGCAACGCCGCGUGAAGGAUGAAGUCUUUCGGGAUGUAAACUUCGUAAGAAUAGGAAGAAUAAAUGACGGUACUAUUUGUAAGGUCCGGCUAACUACGUGCCAGCAGCCGCGGUAAUACGUAGGGACCAAGCGUUGUUCGGAUUUACUGGGCGUAAAGGGCGCGUAGGCGGCGUGUUAAGUCAGCUGUGAAAUCUCCAAGCUUAACUUGGAACGGUCAGCUGAUACUGAUGUGCUAGAGUGCAGAAGGGGCAAUCGGAAUUCUUGGUGUAGCGGUGAAAUGCAGAUAUCAAGAGGAACACCUGAGGUGAAGACGGGUUGCUGGGCUGACACUGACGCUGAGGCGCGAAAGCUAGGGUAGCAAACGGGAUUAGAUACCCUAGUAGUCC
rnacentral:rRNA from 1 species